rnacentral:rRNA from 1 species
AUUGAACGCUGGCGGCAGGCCUAACACAUGCAAGUCGAACGAGUGGUGGACGGGUGAGUAAUGUCUGGGACACUGCCUGAUGGAGGGGGAUAACUACUGGAAACGGUCGCUAAUACCGCAUACCAUCCGACGGGCCGAGAUGGGAUUAGCUUGUUGGUGGGGUAACGGCUCACCAAGGAGACGAUCCCUAGCUGGUCUGAGAGGCUGACCAGACACAAUGGAACUGAGACACGGUCCAUACUCCUACGGGAGGCAGCAGUGGGGAAUUUUGCACAAUGGGCGCAAGCCUGAUGCAGCCAUGCCGCGUAUAUGAAGAAGGCCUUCGGGUUGUAAAGUACUUUCAGCGUAGAGGCGUUACCCGCAGAAGAAGCACCGGCUAACUCCGUGCCAGCAGCCGCGGUAAUAC